rnacentral:rRNA from 1 species
UGUUCCCUACGGGAGGCAGCAGUGAGGAAUAUUGGUCAAUGGGCGAGAGCCUGAACCAGCCAAGUCGCGUGAGGGAAGACGGCCCUAAGGGUUGUAAACCUCUUUUGUCAGGGAGCAAGAACAGAUACGUGUAUCUGAGCGAGAGUACCUGAAGAAAAAGCAUCGGCUAACUCCGUGCCAGCAGCCGCGGUAAUACGGAGGAUGCGAGCGUUAUCCGGAUUUAUUGGGUUUAAAGGGUGCGUAGGCGG